GACGAACGCUGGCGGCGUGCCUAAUACAUGCAAGUCGAGCGAAGUUUUUCUGGUGCUUGCACUAGAAAAACUUAGCGGCGAACGGGUGAGUAACACGUAAAGAACCUGCCUCAUAGACUGGGACAACUAUUGGAAACGAUAGCUAAUACCGGAUAACAGUAUUUCUCGCAUGAGAGAUAUUUAAAAGUUGGUUAUGCUAACACUAUGAGAUGGCUUUGCGGUGCAUUAGCUAGUUGGUGGGGUAAAGGCCCACCAAGGCGACGAUGCAUAGCCGACCUGAGAGGGUGAUCGGCCACACUGGGACUGAGACACGGCCCAGACUCCUACGGGAGGCAGCAGUAGGGAAUCGUCCGCAAUGGGCGAAAGCCUGACGGAGCAACGCCGCGUGAGUGAAGAAGGAUUUCGGUUCGUAAAGCUCUGUUGUUAGGGAAGAAUGGAUAUGUAGUAACUAUACAUGUAAGAGACGGUACCUAACCAGAAAGCCACGGCUAACUACG
rnacentral:rRNA from 1 species